rnacentral:rRNA from 1 species
CCCCAGACUCCUACGGGAGGCAGCAGUGGGGAAUAUUGCACAAUGGGGGAAACCCUGAUGCAGCGACGCCGCGUGAGUGAAGAAGUAUUUCGGUAUGUAAAGCUCUAUCAGCAGGGAAGAAAAUGACGGUACCUGACUAAGAAGCCCCGGCUAACUACGUGCCAGCAGCCGCGGUAAUACGUAGGGGGCAAGCGUUAUCCGGAUUUACUGGGUGUAAAGGGAGCGUAGACGGCAUGGCAAGUCAGAUGUGAAAGCCCGGGGCUCAACCCCGGGACUGCAUUUGAAACUGUCAGGCUGGAGUGCAGGAGAGGUAAGUGGAAUUCCUAGUGUAGCGGUGAAAUGCGUAGAUAUUAGGAGGAACACCAGUGGCGAAGGCGGCUUACUGGACUGUAACUGACGUUGAGGCUCGAAAGCGUGGGGAGCAAACAGGAUUAGAUACCCCCGUA